UAAAUAAGGGCAGCAGGGGAGAAAGUUUAGCAUAGCCUACUUCAAUCUCCCAUCACCAUGAAGGCUAUCCUUGUAUGCUCUCUCUUGAUUUCAGUCCUUCUCUUUCCCUCUUGCGUACUUAGCGCUCGAGAGUUGGUUCAAAAUGAAAUGAUGAGUACUGAUCAUAAGGUGGGCAUUACAGCAGGCUCCAACUGUGAACCUGGAAAAGCUUACAGAAACUGCAAUCCCAAACCAAAACCAACUCCGUGUUCCAAGAAAAAUCGAGGAUGUAGCCCACCAAGCCCUUGAAAAUGAAAAGAUAAACUGGUACUAUAUAUAUAGGAUGAAGGAGUGGCUGUGGCUUGGGGUAGAAUAAUAUAGCUUGGGCGCAUGUGACAUAUGUAUGGGUUGAUUUGGACUGUGGUUUCUAAGUGUUGGAUUAUAUAUAUAUAUAGUCCAGAAGUACUAUGUAUUACGAGUUUGCUUGAUUAAUAAUAGAGCUGACUUAGGUCAGUCUCCAUAAGAAA